rnacentral:rRNA from 1 species
UCAGGAUGAACGCUGGCGGCGUGCUAAUACAUGCAAGUCGAACGAAGAAUGCUUUGCUUGCAUUGCAUUUCUUAGUGGCGAACGGGUGAGUAACGCGUUGGUGACCUGCCCCGAAGAGGGGAAUAGCAGCUGGAAACGGCUGGUAAUGCCCCAUAAUGUCUCUCAGGUUAGAGGCUGAGUGAUUAAAGGAGCAAUCCACUUCGGGAGGGGCCUGCGUCCCAUCAGCUAGUUGGUAGGGUAAAAGCCUACCAAGGCGAUGACGGGUAGGGGACCUGAGAGGGUGACCCCCCACACUGGAACUGAAACACGGUCCAGACACCUACGGGUGGCAGCAGUAGGGAAUAUUGCUUAAUGGGCGAAAGCCUGAAGCAGCAACGCCGCGUGUGCGAUGAAGGUCUUCGGAUUGUAAAGCACUUUUUGAGGGGAUGAGGAAGGACAGUACCCUCAGAAUAAGCCUCGGCUAACUACGUGCCAGCAGCCGCGGUAAAACGUAGGAGGCAAGCGUUAUCCGGAUUUACUGGGCGUGAAGCGCGUGUAGGCGGCGCGGUAAGUUGGAUGUGAAAGCUCCCGGCUUAACUGGGAGAGGUCGUUCAAUACUGUCGUGCUAGAGGAUGGGAGAGGGAGGUGGAAUUCCGGGUGUAGUGGUGAAAUGCGUAGAUAUCCGGAGGAACACCAGUGGCGAAGGCGACCUCCUGGCCCAUUUCUGACGCUCAGACGCGAAAGCUAGGGGAGCGAACGGGAUUAGAGACCCCGGUAGUCCUAGCUGUAAACGAUGUAGACUUGGCGUUG